rnacentral:lncRNA from 10 species
CUAAGCCUAGGAAUGAACAAGAACAGCUUGGAGGUUAGAAGCAAGAUAGAGUCGAUUAAGUUAGGUCUCAGUCAUAAUUUUGCAAAGGCUGUUUCACGAUUAUUACUAUUAUUGGUUAUGAGCCACCCCUAAAACGGCAUGACCUUCAUGGGAAAGAUUUUCUGCACUGGCAACAAUGCGGCCGAGAUUUGAGGGCUGUGUUCCGGUCAUUUGUGACCCCCUGUCACCAUGGUGUUUUAAAUAGUUGGUCUCAUUUGCUCUUCAUAUCAACCCUACGAAGCAGUGACCUUAUUUUCCUCUUCGACAGGUGAACAAACAGACGCAUAAUAGCUCUUGAGCUUGCCAUUGGGAAGUGAAAAUCAACUGCUUGAAUAAAUGUAAGGACUCAGAACACCAGACAUGGGUGCUCCAAUCCACGUAGUGUUGAGGCAGUGAAGUUUGUGUUCCAGGAACUUCAGAACUCCUGAAUGUAUUGGUGUUGAUAAAAGGUGAUGAGAUGAAGUAGAAUGACCAUAAACUUAGAGGUAGACAUCACCUUGUGACUCAACAGCAGCCAAUAAGAUGGAAAUAAAGGCCAUGAAGUUAUCGGAUGGCAUCUACAAGGAAUACUUAGAUGAGGAGGUGACUCUGGUAGCAAUUGUUCUUUUGUCUUUCUCACCUUCCUUCUUGUCCUGUCUGGGAUGCUGAAGUGAUGGCUGGUAUACAGAUGCCCUGUUGUGAUGUUGAGAUAAACAUGAGAAUAAAAGUCGGCGAUUACAGAUGGCAGAGAAGAGAGAGAAAGAUAGGAUGUAGGUGGAUAUUGACGGAACUAAGUUUCUAUUGCACAAGUUCUACCACCAACCUCUGGACUUCAUGAUAUGUGAGGGAGAAAUAAACUCCUAUUUUAGAAGAGAUCUAUGUUACCUGCAACUGAACGGAAUGCUUAAUUGGCACAUCCUAUGUGCUCCAAACCUUCCUUAAUUUCUGUGUGUAAGGCAUACUUAGUCUUUACCCAUUAUUCUGUUCACAUUCAUUCACUUGAUCAGCCUCCCAACUCUAUGGUAAAGAGUUUACUACAGUUUACUCUAUUAGUAAGGGAGAUUCUGGAGCAAGCCCCACAAAUCAUAGAUUGAAUACCCAUUCAUUAAGAGAGAGAUUUAAAGAUACUUCUAUCCAAACACAUUUUAAAUUUCCAGCACCUUUGAGGUGGUGGAGGUUCAUGGUGGUUGAUAGGGUUUAAAUGACUUGUGAUUCAAGCUCCAUAUUACAAUGUAACAGUGCAAAAGUUCAUUUUUUUAAAUUUAUUUUACUUUAAGUUCUGGUAUACAUGUGUAGAACAUGCGGGUUUGUUACAUAGGUAUACAUGUGCCAUGGUGGUUUGCUGCACCUAUCAAACCGUCACCUAGGUUUUAAGAACCACAUGCAUUAGGUAUUUGACCUAAUGCUCUCCCUCAUGUUGCCCCCCAACUCCCUGACAGGGCCCAGUGUGUGAUGUUCCCCUCCCUGUGUCCAUGUGUUCUCAUUGUUCAACUCCCACUUAUGAGUGAGAACAUGUGGUGUUUGAUUUUCUGUUCCUGUGUUAGUUUGCUGAGAAUGAUGGCUUCCAGCUUCAUCCAUGUCCCUGCAAAGGACACGAACUCAUUCUUUUUUAUGGCUUCAUAAUAUUCCAUGAGUCUGGAUUUGGUUACAGAUAGAGCUGGACAAGCCUUAGCUAUAUCUAAUGGCUUUUGACAUGUUAUAUCAAUUUCUUACUGCUUUUGUAAAUGAAUAUAUUAAGAAGAAAAAAUUACAAAUGACCCUUUCUUCACAAACUUUUAGGGUAAUCAAGUUCAGUUAUUAAAAAAUGGAUGUUUGCAACAUUCAUAGUAAUUAUUUUCAGAAAAUUAAAAAUGAUUAAAAAUUAUAUUUUCAUCCCAUUCAGAUAUUAUAUAUUUAACUGUGAGAUAAUUCUCAGAGAUAAAUGUCAACUUUUAAAAAAUGCUAAAUAAAUUAAAUCAAAAUAUCCCCUCUAAAAUAAAUAAAUUAGCUCCGAUUAUUUCUUCUUUUUAAAUUUUUCCUUAUAGUUGUAAAAAUAAAGUGAACGUUUU